GUCCCUGCAGCGCAAGGGAUAGCGCGUUGAACUUUUAAUCCAAAGGUCGUGGUUUUGAAUCUUACCUGGGACG